rnacentral:rRNA from 1 species
CCUACGGGAGGCAGCAGUGAGGAAUAUUGGACAAUGGACGAGAGUCUGAACCAGCCAAGUAGCGUGAAGGAUGACUGCCCUAUGGGUUGUAAACUUCUUUUAUAUGGGAAUAAAAUGUUCCACGUGUGGGAUUUUGUAUGUACCAUAUGAAUAAGGAUCGGCUAACUCCGUGCCAGCAGCCGCGGUAAUACGGAGGAUCCGAGCGUUAUCCGGAUUUAUUUGGUUUAAAGGGAGCGUAGGUGGAUUGUUAAGUCAGUUGUGAAAGUUUGCGGCUCAACCGUAAAAUUGCAGUUGAAACUGGCAGUCUUGAGUACAGUAGAGGUGGGCGGAAUGCGUGGUGUAGCGGUGAAAUGCUUAGAUAUCACGAAGAACUCCGAUUGCGAAGGCAGCUCACUGGACUGCAACUGACACUGAGGCUCGAAAGUGUGGGUAUCAAACAGGAUUAGAUACCCCUGUAGUC